UAUAGUUCUUGAUUAUUAAUUUUUCCUGAAUCUGGAGGACAACAUGAAACUGCUGACUAUCUUUCCCCUUGUGGGCUUUCUAGCAAUUUGGAUGGGAUUCCCCUCUGCAAUUGGAAGUGGCUUCCAAACAGGAAAACAAAGUCCACAGAAGCCAGGGGAGUGCCCAACCGAUCCUUGCUUUUGCAUUCAUCCUCAGCAUAAUGAGUGCCGGAGAGAUAAUGAUUGCAAAGGAAAAGAGAAGUGUUGUAACUAUUGUUGUGCAAUGAGAUGUGUAUCUCCAAGAUAAGAAGUUCUGAGACUCAGGCUUCCCAGUUAAUGAAAGUGGUUUGAUGGUUCAAUGCAUUCAACAAUAUUACAGCAUCUUUCUGAUCCCUUCCUAAGCCUCAAAAAUGUCUCUUGAACAAGAAAUGAGAACAGCAAGAUACCUGCCAUACUGCUUUACUCCUUGUUGUUUCAGGGAACUUUUCUUUCUGUCUGUU